rnacentral:lncRNA from 1 species
UGUCUUCCCCAGUCCUUAGCACAUUGUUCUGCACAUAUUAGGUUUUUGAUAUAUACAUAUUGAUAGGGGAAAGAGAGAUGGACUUUCUAUCAGCUCUCAGGACAAGGGAGUGAUUGAGAGGAGAAUUUUUCUUUGGUUAAAUAAUUUUCUACCAGUCCUGAAGGCAUAAAAGGAAAUGCUUGGGAUUAAGGUGUGAACUAGGUUCAUCUUCAUUGUUACAUGGUCAAAUAAAUCUAUAUUUGCUUUUCCAUGAAUCUUAUCUCUGCUCUAAUGUGGAUUGCUUUGCAUGCUGUAAUAAUCUUGAUUUAUAAUAAUGCCUCCUAUCUCUGUAUUAUUGCCAUUCUAAGAAAAUGUCACAUUUUCUUCACUUUCAAAAGAGAAAUACAGAGAUCAGAGAGAGCCUACAUUGGAUCCUAGGUGUUAGAGAAAACAGAAUUUACAUGUAGCAAUCCAGGAAGUUUCCAAGGCAACACCAGCUUCUUAUGACAUCCUAAGAGAGGUCAUAAUUGUGGCAGGCAUGUCAACAUUGCUGGUUAAGCCUGUAACACCCUUUUUGGUUAGGAUGUGAACAUCAUGGCCUCACCUUUGGAUUCCAAAGCAGAUUCGACACAAGAGUUCUUAAAAAAACAGUACUUUUAUUGGCUUCUCAUCCUUUGGCAACAGCACACUCAUAUGCAGCUUGUUGAUUUGGCUGAAUCCUUCAUUCAGGAGCUUGGUGUUGCUCUCUGUGUGGCUCCUCCUGCAGUUCUUGGCUUCCAGAAGUCAACUCUAGGCAGUGCUCUCAGGAAAGCCGUGCUGAGAAGGAAACAAUGCUAUUUGGAGGGAUCCCCUGUUUCCAUGGAAACAUAACUCCCCAGGAGGCAAGAGGGAUCAGCAGGUCUAGCCUGGAGUUGCAGAAGAAGACUUGGAAGUGGUGGUUGAAUGAGAGCUGUGUAACCAGGACCAUGGAGAGCCAAACAGUCUACCUUUUAGCUAUGAUCUUUGUUUCUGUUCUUAUGUCACCCUCCUCAUAUCUGCUUCCCGUACUUACCCUUCUCAUUGUCCCUUUAAGCUCUUUUCUUAGUCUUCUCUUCAUUGAAUAUAACCUUCAUUUUUCAUAGUAACUUACUCUGUCUCUAUAAAUGUGAAAAGAAAACACAACUCCUUCCCUUCCCUUCACAAACACCCCAUACAAUAAAAAAUCUUUGUAGGUUGUAUGCUUUUUAACU